UACGAAGGGGGCUAGCGUUGUUCGGAAUCACUGGGCGUAAAGGGCGCGUAGGCGGCUUUGUAAGUCGGGGGUGAAAGCCUGUGGCUCAACCACAGAAUUGCCUUCGAUACUGCAUGGCUUGAGACCGGAAGAGGUAAGUGGAACUGCGAGUGUAGAGGUGAAAUUCGUAGAUAUUGGGAAGAACACCAGUGGCGAAGGCGGCUAACUGGUCCAGUACUGACGCUGAGGUGCGAAAGCGUGGGGAGCAAACAGG
rnacentral:rRNA from 1 species